rnacentral:rRNA from 1 species
GGAGUUAGCCGGUGCUUCUUCUGCGAGUAACGUCACAGAUGUAAGGUAUUAACUUACACCCUUUCCUCCUCGCUGAAAGUGCUUUACAACCCGAAGGCCUUCUUCACACACGCGGCAUGGCUGCAUCAGGGUUUCCCCCAUUGUGCAAUAUUCCCCACUGCUGCCUCCCGUAGGAGUCUGGGCCGUGUCUCAGUCCCAGUGUGGCUGAUCAUCCUCUCAGACCAGCUAGGGAUCGUCGCCUAGGUGAGCCUUUACCUCACCUACUAGCUAAUCCCACCUGGGCUUAUCCAUCAGCGCAAGGCCCGAAGGUCCCUGCUUUCCCCCGUAGGGCGUAUGCGGUAUUAGCAGUCGUUUCCAACUGUUAUCCCCCACAAAUGGGCAAAUUCCCAGGCAUUACUCACCCGUCCGCCGCUCGUCAUCUUCAAAGCAAGCUUUUGAAAUGUUACCGCUCGACUUGCAUGUGUUAGGCCUGCCGCCAGCGUUCAAUCUGAGCCAGGAUCAAACUCUGA